CCUACGGGAGGCAGCAGUGAGGAAUAUUGGUCAAUGGGCGGGAGCCUGAACCAGCCAAGUCGCGUGAGGGAAGACGGUCCUAUGGAUUGUAAACCUCUUUAGGCGGGGAGCAAUGCCGGGCACGCGUGUCCGGAGGGAGAGUACCCGCAGAAUAAGCAUCGGCUAACUCCGUGCCAGCAGCCGCGGUAAUACGGAGGAUGCGAGCGUUAUCCGGAUUUAUCGGGUUUAAAGGGUGCGUAGGCGGGAUGCCAAGUCAGCGGUAAAAAUGCGGGGCUCAACGCCGUCGAGCCGUUGAAACUGGGGUU
rnacentral:rRNA from 1 species